GUAUUCUGCACGGACUGCUGGGCAGCACUAGCACUCUGGAGAAGGUCUGCCGCUGUCUGCACUUUCCUGGUGAGAAUCCCCAAUGACAGUCCCACUUUUCAGUGGAGGAGAACAAAAUAUCUGUCUACUCUCUUGAAGAAGGACACGGCUUUGAUCAUAUUUGUUCAGGCUUGACUUGGCCGGAGGUUUUAGGUUCUUAGUCUCAAGUCAGCAGUCUCUCUCUCUCUCUCUCUCUCUCUCUCUCUCUCUCUCUCUGAAACACACACACACAGAGACGCACACACACACAAGCACACACAUACACAAGCGCAAAUCCUCUCUUUCUCUUUCUCUCAUUUCCCGUCAUAGGUUCUAUGCAGGCAGAUGAGUGUCACAGCUGUAACUGAGGCACAGAGCAGUACACACAGUGGAGCCGAUUUCCGCGAUGGCGAGAGGGGGCACCGGAGGUGACAACAAUAACAAGACUGUCCUUCGGACAAGUUUUAGAUUCUCAGGAUGAUGGAGUGAGUGAUGGAAUAGGUUGCCAACUGUAGUUACUCCACUCAGCACAGAAUGGCUGCGGGGAAAUAUAAUCAGACAUGCCCAAAGAAGUCUGCUUAGGGUGAAACAAAUACCUUUGAGGUUUAAAUCAGGAAGGAGAGACUGUUUCUACAGGUGUCAUACAAAAAUCAAUACUGAGCCAAGGAUUAUUGGAUCCCAUAGAACCACGGAGACUUGGUAGUGAAAUUCUUCCAAAGGCAGAUGGUGUUCCUAGGUUUGGAAAUAUAAAUCCCAUGGGAAGUCAGCUGAAGACCAUUUUAUGCAUCACUCAUCCUGUUAGAGCCCUGUGCUGUUCUGUCUCUCUAUAAGACUGGCUGAAACCACCACGGUUGUUUACAAUUUAUGCUCUAACUUUGGAUCACCUAGUUAAUACUCUAACUCCGAUUAUUACCAAAGACAAUGUUCUAUAAAAGAUAUUGUCUAUUAGAAGGAUGCUUCUGCAUUAUUAAUAAAAUCACAGGGAAAAUGCAACAUUUUGGAUGUCACAUCUGAUAAGUUGGCAGUUAAAGAACAGAAACAGCAAUAAGACUGCGUGGCUACAUUUUCCCAGUGCCACCAACUGGGAUUUAAGCUGACUAACAUUUUGAAAGCCCAGCCCAUUUCAUUCACAGCAGGAUGGCAGUGGGUGACUGAUCGUACCCGCCAGCUGGCUAAUGUCAUAAUUAACAAAGUUGCUACUACAUCUGCAAAGUUUAAUCGAAAAAUUUGCCAGUGAUAUGAUGGCCUUGUCACAGAGAUCACAAGGGACACGGAGUUGACUUUUGCUCAAGGUGGAACGACAGAGCUGUGUAGGCAAGAUGAGAAAUUGCGAACUUGUUCGGCCAAAGGAGGCUAAUAAUGAAGGGGCCGGGAAGGAGGCCAGUGCUACCAGGGUUAUCUCACAACCUCAGAUGCUGGAUAAGUCGACGGAGGCAGAAUCGCUUUGGGAUGACAUUCAGAAAGCCUGGAGUGAUUACUUGCAAGAGAAAAGCCUACCUAUUCUUUCCAAGGUGCAGGAAUAUUCCCCUGACCUGCUCAUCCAGUGGUCCAGUAAUGAAUUACUGGAGACCUGCCUUAGACAAAGAAUGCACUCGGAGCCCCAACACACCUAAAGCCAUGCUUUGAAGGAUCUGCCAAGCUCACUUUUAAUCAUGAGAAAGAAAUUACCCACACGGAGUCAGCAGAAAAUGAGAAAGUAGAGCUCGUGCUGUGAAUAAUUCCAGCAAGUGCCAAGGGGCUAGUUGAGGAAUGGCUUCAUGAGGUGAAUAUCUUUAGCUUGUACUUAGGGUUUGGUUAGCGUAUAAUCAUUUUCUCUUUUAGGAGCAAUGACUAUCAUACAUGUAUUUCCUAACUAAAGAGUGCUCAGAGCAUUUGUCAGGUUGUUGACAGAUUUAAUAUCAGUCUUGCCCAUGUUGUUAUUUACUAUGACUAAUUUUACGUUUGUAAAUAUGCAAAAAUCAAUUUAGGCGGAAAGGCUCUCCUCCGAGCCAAUGACUGCUACUAGCUGUAUGCAUUUGUGUGUAUUGCUGUGAGUGCAUGUCCAGUAGUUUAUGUCUCUGUGUCUGUAUGUGCCCUUGUUCUGUCUUCUCUCUGUUGUGAACGCAGGUUGGGAGAAUUAGCCAACCAUUGGGUUCUCAGAUGUGGUCCCAGGCUUUCAUUUGAUUUUUGGAACGGGAAAAAAAGAACGUGUCACAUCAUGAUUAAUGGUGAAUCUGAAUUUUCAAUUCACAUGAAAGGAGGAAGGGGAGGGGAUAUGAGUCAAGUGACAAGACUAACCUUUUCCCUUUGGGACGAGCAUGAUUCAAAUUAAACAUCACUUUCAGUGUGAAA
rnacentral:lncRNA from 1 species